rnacentral:rRNA from 1 species
GACGAACGCUGGCGGCGUGCUUAACACAUGCAAGUCGAGCGGUAAGGCCCUUUCGGGGGUACACGAGCGGCGAACGGGUGAGUAACACGUGGGUGACCUGCCCUCAGCUCUGGGAUAAGCCUGGGAAACCGGGUCUAAUACUGGAUAUGACUCCAUGACGCAUGUUGUGGGGUGGAAAGCCUUGUGCGGCUGAGGAUGGGCCCGCGGCCUAUCAGCUUGUUGGUGGGGUGAGGCCUACCAAGGCGACGACGGGUAGCCGGCCUGAGAGGCGACCGGCCACACUGGGACUGAGACACGGCCCAGACUCCUACGGGAGGCAGCAGUGGGGAAUCUUGCGCAAUGGGCGAAAGCCUGACGCAGCGACGCCGCGUGAGGGAUGACGGCCUGUGUAAC